rnacentral:rRNA from 1 species
UACGUAGGGUGCAAGCGUUAGUCGGAAUUACUGGGCGUAAAGCGUGCGCAGGCGGCUUUGCAAGACAGAUGUGAAAUCCCCGGGCUUAACCUGGGAACUGCAUUUGUGACUGCAUGGCUGGAGUGCGGCAGAGGGGGAUGGAAUUCCGCGUGUAGCAGUGAAAUGCGUAGAUAUGCGGAGGAACACCGAUGGCGAAGACAAUCCCCUGGGCCUGCACUGACGCUCAUGCACGAAAGCGUGGGGAGCAAACAGG